UACAGAGGGUGCAAGCGUUGUUCGGAAUUAUUGGGCGUAAAGCGCGUGUAGGCGGCUUUGCAAGUCGGAUGUGAAAGCCCUCGGCUCAACCGAGGAAGUGCAUUCGAAACUGCCGAGCUGGAGUCCUGGAGAGGAAGGCGGAAUUCUCGGUGUAGAGGUGAAAUUCGUAGAUAUCGAGAAGGAACGACCGGUGGCGAAGGCGGCCUUCUGGACAGUGACGUGACGGCUGAG
rnacentral:rRNA from 1 species